AUAGAACCUGCAACCUCAUGGUUCCUAGUCAGAUUCGUUAACCACUGAGCCAUGACCGGAACCCCAGUCUCCUUCUAUUACCUAUGAGCUGUGACCCUGGAUGAGAUUAAGAAGCCAUGUCUUCUCCUAAGGAGGUCUGGUUAAUGCAGACACACAACAUACACUAAAGGGGAGGAAAGAGACCCAAGUGAUCAAAAAAAAAUUUUAUAUUUAAAUUCUUCUCCUCUUCCCAUAAAAUACGAAUUUUAUUUCAUCAGGAGUUAGAGACAGAAAUUGUCAUUUAAUAAUCUGUCACCUGCUAGUAUUUAGUUUCACUGCAUUUUCUGAAGUAUAAAUGAUAGACAUCUGUGGUUUCAAUGUCCUCCUUGGAUACAUUUUUCAUUGAGAUUUUCUUUCUUUAAAUUGUUGCUUUUGUAUAGGUGGUACUCUACAAGUGGUUUCAGAAUUAACUCCUCUCUUUCCUUAUGAAAACCACUUUCCUCUGUAAAAUUUUGUUCAGCCAGUUUAAAGUAAGUAGACUCAUUGAAGUACAUUCAUAGAUUCAAUAUUAAAUAUUACCAUUUCAACCAGAUAAAAUUUGAACAUCAAUAUUAGACAAGGUCGUCACAUGUAAUGUAAGUUGUAUAUUUAUAAUUCACUGAACCAAGUAAUGAGUAUGCAAUUAGUAGCAUAGCAGAAAGAUUUGUUGAAAACCAGAGCUAUUUUUGUUAUCAGAUGAGUGAGUAUUCUCUAAGUGUUUUUCCUAAGGACAAAAUGUGCUCCUCUAAAAUGGGAUAAGAGCCACUCCAAAAUGAGAAGUCAUCUCACUUGGAUGCAUUUUAUUGGAAAACACUCACCAGGGGUCAAUUCCUGCUUCAGCUGGUAGAGAACUAAGCAGACCGUGAUAUGUCAUCACCAGAUUCUAUUCAAGGAUUAAUGGCUCCAAAGAACAAGAUGCCUCUUUAAAUCUUCCUGUAAUGUUACACCCAAUAGUGACUCGUUCCACCAUUCCAGUCCCUUUUGCACAUUGAGGGGCAGAGGAUGGCUUUUCACAAGUCUCAGAGGAACAGGGGACAUGGAUAAUCCAGUACAGGUUCUAAGUCAUCUCUUUUGGUUCAGGCCAAGUCAUGGCACCCAUGAGAUCUGCCAAAACAGAAGCUCUCCUCCCCUGGGGUGGGUGGGGUAGCAAUAGAUGGAAUUUGCUUAGAGUCAUCUCUCACCACAAGGGAAAUCUACAAUGUCCCUGGAAAGAUAUGGUCUAAUUCUGCUACUAAUUUGGUUUAAAUGACCUUGAAAGGUUGAGGGAUUUCUGUAACUCCUUCACUCCAUAUAUAAAAGGCUGUGAUAAUGAAUUUCAGGGCAGCACCUGUUGGCCUUCACAAAUCAGAACUGAGGAUCCAGAAGUGGGACUGAAACUUGUCUUCCUUUGCACCUCAGCAGGAUACCACCUCACCUGGAAAUUCAUCUUUAAGAGGAUGAACAAUCAAUAUAUCCGUCAAGAAGUCUUCUGCUGUGAAACUUGCCAUGAGCUCAAAAGCUUCUGGGAGAAAGAAAUUAGAAAACAGACUUGUUACCGGGAACUGGAAGAAGAUCGACAGGGAAGGAGUGCCCUGGGAAAGAGCAUGGAUGCAACCAGUUUCUCAAACUAAGUGAAGUCAAAAAGAGAAAUACUAUAUGAUAUUGCUUAUAUGUGAAAUCUAAAACAUGGCACAAAUGAACCUACCUACAAAACGGAAACAGACUCAGAUAUGUUUCUUGACUCUUUAUUCUCUUCCAUUACUAUCUUGAUAUUAAGACUUAAAAUCAUGUAGUGUGAGUCAUCCAACUCUCUUCUACUUUAAAAUUGUUUUGGCUAAUCUAUUUCUUUUGUCUUUCUAUAUAAAAUUUAGAAUCAGCUUGUCGAUAUCUUUGGAAAAAGUUGUGCUGGAAUUUUGAUUGGUAUUACUUGACUCCACAUGUAAACUUAGGAAGGAAUAAACUUUGGAGAAAAGUACAUGUUCGUAGACUGCUCUUUUUUCUAUUGACUUUUUCUUCAUUAAUAUGUAAAAUCCAUGUAUUUCUCUUAAAAAUAGUCCUCAAGAGUUCCCAUCAUGGCGCAGCUGUUAACGAAUCUGACUAGGAACUAUGAGGUUGCAGGUUCGAUCCCUGGCCUUGCUCAGUGGGUUAAGGAUCUGGCAUCGCCAUGCACUGUGGUGUAGUGGCAGGCGCAGCUCCCAUCCCCUUUGCUGUGGCUCUGGUGUAGGCCGGUGGCUACAGCUCUGAUUAGACCCCUAGCCUGGGAACCUCCAUAUGCCAUGGGAGUGGCCCUAGAAAAGGCAAAAAGACAAAAAAAAAAAAAAAUAGUCUUCAGAAGGAAAAAAAAACCUUCACUGGGCCAGCAGAGGUAGGAAACAAAUGCACUAACGCUUUAUAUUGUUUCCCCUCCUCAGGCUCUGAGAAGAGUGGAAGCAGAGACUGGAGAAAAGGCUGAAGAUGUUGGACAAUCCUGAUGGGAAGGAAAAGCAGACCAACACUGUAGGCUGAAAUUUACCUGCCUCCUCUACUUCAAAGAUAACAAGCCACUGAGGGUACUUUUCUAGAAGAAAAAACUAGCACCCAAGUUAUGUUGACUUACUAAGCAGGACACUCUCUAUUUGCUCUCCCAUUUGUGAGGGGAUUUACAUGUGAAACCUCCCCCAGUGCUAAUGGGAGUCCUUAUCCAACUCAAUCCUCUCUGCUACAGAGAAUAGGAUGACCGCCAAUGAAAUAGGAAGCUCAGGUUAUCUAAUAUAAAAAUCUCUUGGAAUUAGCACUUCCCAGGGUUCAAAGAUCUAUGUAAUAGAAUUGAUUUCCACAUUUUCUUCUCAUUUUGAAAUCUGAAUGUUUAAUCCAAGCUUGCCAGGGCAAUGACCUUGUGGAGAAACUGGCUUCCCUAUGUCUUCUGGAAAAACAGAGUCAUACAGUCUCCCCCCCCCCCCAUUUGGUGAAUGUAGAAAUACUACUGCUGUUGUUAUGAAAAGAAUAGUUUCUUAACAACAUGGUUUGAAAAUGAACCGAACUAAAUUAUUUUCUGUUCCUAUAAAUUGGGUUUAUUUUUCAUAAACAAGCAGAAGCAUGCAGUGAAAGUAAGGUGAUGCUUAAUAAACUUGGUUUGUCGUGUCCU